CUGCAAUGCCCCAUGCUUUGCUGAUUGCAGCCCUGGUGCUCUGCAACUAAUGGGGCCCAGAUGGGGCCAAGAAAAAACGAACUGAGCUGGCUGGGAAGGAACUGAUUUAUAGUCCUACUCUUUCUCCUCCCCCUCCAAAACAAACAAAGUUAAGGAAAGGCAAAUCUACUUGGCUGCCACAUAAAUCUCUAGCCUGUGUGACAUGUGUACACUCUAAGAAGUCUCAAAAUGGAGCAAGAAAAUGAGACCAUCACAUGUGUUCGUCCUGACAGCACAGACUACUUCAUAGCCAGUAAAAAUGCUGUUUCUCUCUUGGAGCCAUUGUCUUGGAGGAACAUCUGGCCUGUGAGGGAUGGUAGAGUCAGGUGCUUGCAAGGUGGAGAAUGACGAUGUCCCAAAUGUAACCUACAACCAGCAGUAACCAUAGAACACAGUGUUUUGUGAGGAAGACAGAAUUAAUGCCAAGUGAUCUGUAUCGAAAUGAGGAUCUCCUUCCACCCAGUAUCAUUUGCUGUGGCACAUUUCUCAACAAGAAUAGCAUUUGCUGUGAUGUAGACUGGAAGAAGCUUUCACUGUCACACAGGAUACAUAUUUUCCCUUUUCCUCAACUCUUCCUUAGAGGUAACCUUUGUCAUGCAACUAGUCUGCAAAGCAAAGCUGCAUCAACCAGUGAAUGUGUACAGUUCAUCAUAUCCUUUACCACUGGAGCUAGAGAGAAUUCAGUGAUGGAGAAGCAUCUCUUCCACUGCACACCAGGGCUGGACAUGAAACUUUCCCUUCUGUUAAUACAAGCUGACUUUCCUUUGAAGAUCUAAACAAAUACAAAAGAGGAAUUCUACCAGCAAGGCUCAUCUGUACUGUGGUGUUUUGAAAGAUGACACUUCAGCUUUUCUCUGUACAAUUGAAGAACACUCUGCCUUCUCAGGCUUGUGUUAGUGCCACUUUUACCACAGAGC
rnacentral:lncRNA from 1 species